UACGGAGGGUGCAAGCGUUGUCCGGAUUUAUUGGGUUUAAAGGGUGCGUAGGUGGUCGUUUAAGUCUGAUUUGAAAGCUGGCGGCUCAACCGUCGGAUGUGGUUGGAAACUGGAGGACUUGAAUGGGUUGGCGGCUGCCGGAACGGGUCAUGUAGCGGUGAAAUGCAUAGAUAUGACACAGAACACCGAUUGCGAAGGCAGGCAGCUAGGACCCGAUUGACACUGAGGCACGAGAGCAUGGGGAGCCAACAGG
rnacentral:rRNA from 1 species